rnacentral:lncRNA from 1 species
AUCAAAAUAACCAAAGAUUUCAACAUUGACAUCAAUUUUUUUUUAAUUUAAAGAAUAUAUAGAGGCAUAUAUGAAUGAAAUGAGAUGAAAUAAAUUGACUGCAUUUCCCGACACUCACAAACUUGUUUUACGAACUUGAAAAAAACAAUGAUCUUAAAAACGAUCAAACACAGGGGUUUGUUACAAUUUGCCGGGCUUACUAUCCAUAUACGAACCCCGAAAUUGAGCAAGUCUUUGAAGUAUUAAUUAUCACCUAUUCCAUCUAAUAAUUGUUUAGUCAGCAGUAGUGAAUUUUACCAUUUGAAAAUAAUUGAGAGGAUAUGAUUAGAAAAACAAACCCCAAGCUGAUACGACAUGAGAAAUUCACUUUCUCCAUGUCCAGCUUGGAUGAAGCCAUUUGAAUAUUAUAAAACGUUAAGUUCAGAAAAAUGAGAAAUCAUUAUGCUUCAUUAAAAUAUCAAUUCCUGUCAAACGUUGUAAGGUUAACUGUACACUCUACAGUGGGAUACAAAACCAAACACAGAAGCUGACAAUGACUUUAUUGUUGGUCUUACAUGUUCUGCAACAUCACCUGUUAUAGUGCUAAGAAAUCUUCACAUAGGCAGUCUGGUACUAUAGACCAAUCACGGAAAAAGACUUCUCUCCUGGUUUUUUUUUUUGAUACACAGAUAGUAUGAGGAUUAUAUGAAUUUACAAUGGAAAAAUAAAGACUUCUUCUAUAUCCAGACAAUAACAUUAGCAGCAACCA